UACAGAGGGUGCAAGCGUUGUCCGGAAUCAUUGGGCGUAAAGCGCGUGUAGGCGGCCAUGUAAGUCCGUUCUGAAAGCCCGGGGCUCAACCCCGGGAGGCGGAUGGAUACUGCAUGGCUCGAGUACGGAAGAGGCGAGUGGAAUUCCCGGUGUAGCGGUGAAAUGCGCAGAUAUCGGGAGGAACACCAAUGGCGAAGGCAGCUCGCUGGGACGUUACUGACGCUGAGACGCGAAAGCGUGGGGAUCAAACAGG
rnacentral:rRNA from 1 species